GCAAGUCGAACGGCAGCACGGACUUCGGUCUGGUGGCGAGUGGCGAACCGUUGAGUAAUAUAUCGGAACAUACCCUAGAGUGGGGGAUAACGUAGCGAAAGUUACGCUAAUACCGCAUACGCACUAAGGUGGAAAGUGGGGGAUCGCAAGACCUCAUGCUCAUGGAGUGGCCGAUAUCUGAUUAGCUAGUUGGUGAGGUAAAGGCUCACCAAGGCGACGAUCAGUAGCUGGUUUGAGAGAACGACCAGCCACACUGGAACUGAGACACGGUCCAGACUCCUACGGGAGGCAGCAGUGGGGAAUUUUGGACAAUGGGCGCAAGCCUGAUCCAGCAAUGCCGCGUGAGUGAAGAAGGCCUUCGGGUUGUAAAGCUCUUUUGUCAGGGAAGAAACGGUAUCUCCUAAUACGGGGUGCUAAUGACGGUACCUGAAGAAUAAGCACCGGCUAACUACGUGCCAGCAGCCGCGGUAAUACGUAGGGUGCAAGCGUUAAUCGGAAUUACUGGGCGUAAAGCGUGCGCAGGCGGUUAUAUAAGUCAGAUGUGAAAUCCCCGGGCUCAACCUGGGAACUGCAUUUGAGACUGUAUGGCUAGAGUGUGUCAGAGGGGGGUAGAAUUCCACGUGUAGCAGUGAAAUGCGUAGAUAUGUGGAGGAAUACCGAUGGCGAAGGCAGCCCCCUGGGAUAACACUGACGCUCAUGCACGAAAGCGUGGGGAGCAAACAGGAUUAGAUACCCUGGUAGUCCACGCCCUAAACGAUGUCUACUAGUUGUCGGGACUUAAUUGUCUUGGUAACGAAGCUAACGCGUUAAGUUCGCCGCCUGGGGAGUACGGUCGCAAGACUGAAACUCAAAGGAAUUGACGGGGGCCCGCACAAGCGGUGGAGUAUGUGGUUUAAUUCGA
rnacentral:rRNA from 1 species